AUGGUAUGUUUUUUUCGUUACGGAUUUCCUGGAACAUAUCGUCGUAUUUUUCUCCGAGUUCGUAUGGAAGAUAUUCAGUCCCUCAUACUACAAGCUAACCCAGAACCUAGUAGUGGUGUCCUUUAUAUGCAAACCAGAGAACAGGGGACCAUUCCCUUGACUCCUGUUGAUGAUAGGACUCCAUGCAACGUUAUACAAAAAGCUUGGGACUUGUCCAGAUUCUUGAGUGUACCAAUGGAAAUCGUUCCAUAUUCUUGAGUAUACCAAUGGAAAUCGCUGUAUCCAAACAAUUUCAUUUUUAAUUCAUAGCUUUUGA